AGUCGAGGGGUAUUGUCUUCGGAUAUAGAGACCGGCGCACGGGUGCGUAACGCGUAUGCAAUCUACCUUUUACAGAGGGAUAGCCCAGAGAAAUUUGGAUUAAUACCUCAUAGUAUAGCUCUACCGCAUGGUAGUACUAUUAAAGUCACAACGGUAAAAGAUGAGCAUGCGUCCCAUUAGCUAGUUGGUAAGGUAACGGCUUACCAAGGCAACGAUGGGUAGGGGUCCUGAGAGGGAGAUCCCCCACACUGGUACUGAGACACGGACCAGACUCCUACGGGAGGCAGCAGUGAGGAAUAUUGGACAAUGGGCGCAAGCCUGAUCCAGCCAUGCCGCGUGCAGGAUGACGGUCCUAUGGAUUGUAAACUGCUUUUGUACGAGAAGAAACACUGCUUCGUGAAGCAGCUUGACGGUAUCGUAAGAAUAAGGAUCGGCUAACUCCGUGCCAGCAGCCGCGGUAAUACGGAGGAUCCAAGCGUUAUCCGGAAUCAUUGGGUUUAAAGGGUCCGUAGGCGGUUUAGUAAGUCAGUGGUGAAAGCCCAUCGCUCAACGGUGGAACGGCCAUUGAUACUGCUGAACUUGAAUUAUUAGGAAGUAACUAGAAUAUGUAGUGUAGCGGUGAAAUGCUUAGAGAUUACAUGGAAUACCAAUUGCGAAGGCAGGUUACUACUAAUUGAUUGACGCUGAUGG
rnacentral:rRNA from 1 species